rnacentral:rRNA from 1 species
AUUGAACGCUAGCGGCAUGCUUUACACAUGCAAGUCGAACGAGAGGCGAACGGAUGAGUACUAUAUAGGACCGUACCGAGUUAUGGGGGAUAACCAAUCGAAAGAUUGGCUAAUACCGCAUAUUAUUCGAGCGGCCGAUAACUGAUUAGCACGUGGGUGGGGUAAAGGCCUACCAAGGCGACGAUCAGUAGCGGGUCUGAGAGGACGAUCCGCCACACUGGGACCGAGACACGGCCCAGACUCCUACGGGAGGCAGCAGUGGGGAAUUUUGGACAAUGGGGGCAACCCUGAUCCAGCCAUGCCGCGUGGAUGAAGAAGGCCUUCGGGUUGUAAAGUACUGUUGUUAGGGAAGCGGUACCUAAAGAAUAAGCACCGGCUAACUACGUGCCAGCAGCCGCGGUAAUAC